rnacentral:rRNA from 1 species
AACGAACGCUGGCGGCAGGCCUAACACAUGCAAGUCGAACGAGAAGCCACCUUCGGGUGGUGGACAGUGGCAGACGGGUGAGUAACGCGUGGGAACGUGCCUUUCGGUUCGGAAUAACCCAGGGAAACUUGGGCUAAUACCGGAUACGCCUUCGGGGGAAAGAUUUAUUGCCGAAAGAUCGGCCCGCGUCGGAUUAGCUAGUUGGUGGGGUAAAAGCCUACCAAGGCGACGAUCCGUAGCUGGUCUGAGAGGAUGAUCAGCCACACUGGGACUGAGACACGGCCCAGACUCCUACGGGAGGCAGCAGUGGGGAAUAUUGGACAAUGGGCGAAAGCCUGAUCCAGCCAUGCCGCGUGGGUGAAGAAGGCCCUGGGGUUGUAAACCCCGUUUCAGCGGGGGUAAGAUAAUGACGGUACCCGCAGAAGAAGCCCCCGGGCUAACUCCGUGCCACAGCCCGCGGUAAUACGGAGGGGGUCUAGCGUUGUUGCGAAUACUGGGCUAAAAGCGCGCGUAGGCGGAUCUGCAAGUCAGGGGUGAAAUCCCGAGGCUCAACCUCGGAACUGCCUUUGAUACUGC